GAGGCCUGGCCGGGAGCAGGGCCGGCCGCCUCCGCUSGGGGACGGGUGGGGGUAGAGCGCCCGGGCCCGGACAUCCCUGGGAGCAGAGAGCCGCGCGUACUCCGUACGUUGCCUUGUCUUCCCUGGGAUAGGGGUUUGCCUCCCCCUGCACUGAGGCUGGUUUGCCGUUCAGGUCUCCCAGCGCCGGGUACUUGAGCUGGAAGGUUGUGACAGACACAGCUGCUGCAGCUGACACGCUCUGAAGGUGAAGCGUGACAAGGCUCUGUGUGAGGGCCCGCUUCCGUCCUGCAGCGRGGCCCUGGGAGCAGAUGGGACGGGGCAAGCACUCCCUGGAGGGUGUUGGCACACUGAGCCAGCCCGGCCUGCAGCAGCACAACACAGCACUCAGGCAAGGGCAGAUCCAGCCACAGAGACAUUGCAUUCCUACACAUCCUAGCAUUCACAGCCUGAAAUUCAGGAUAGCAAGAAAAACCUUACGUUGGCUGGCAGAACAUUGGAAAUCUAGAAAGGAUUCAAUGGCCUCAAAARGAAAUGCAGUUUUAAAUCCUGCCAUGGCUCCCUCUGAAAGCUGCAAGGGAGUCAUAUGAAUUCUCACUGAUAUCACAGUGCCCACAAACGUGUUCCAUUCAGAGGGAGGGAGAGAAAACCUGUCUUGACACUGCAAGACCUGUGCCUCUUCAAUCAAAGAGAAAAUGCCAGCCUCUGAGGAUCCAUCCUUUCAUUUCAAUUCUUCARAGAACGGAGAGAUGCCCUUUCUGAAUUUGCUUAUAUAAUGAGCAAGGAAACAGUGGAAGAUUCGUGCUUAUUUUUUCCCCACACUGAAGCCAAGAAAAAAAUUGUUUUGAAGAAAAACUGAUGGUGCUUUUCUAAAGAGGUUGCUAUUUUUCUUCCCUUCCUGAUGAAGCUUCUGUUCUCUCUCAUUGCUCUCUUUCCAUGGUAGGAGAGCAGGUGCGAGGCAGACGCUUUGGCAGAUAGAAAUGUUCUAGCACUAUAAUUAUAAUCAACAUUUCUGUGUAAAAUACCCAAGGGUUUAUGUGUGCACAACGCAUAUCGGAAGUUCCACGUGGGGUAUUCAGUUUCUUGGUCUUAGUCAUAAAUACAAAUACAAAUACCUUUAAUUUUCUGGAGAAUUCUAUUUUUAGGGAGCGAGGGGGGUUGGAGGGCAGUGUCAGGGGUGGGAUGGGAUGUAAUAGCCCUGGAAAGUACUGGCUUAAUUCUCCCUUGCACUCAAGAUGCCCUUGGUGGAAUGAGAGGCAGCACUGUGAAUAUUCUGCAAAGGCUUAGAUUUAUGAGUGGCAUCACCCUCAGCCUCCCCAGCACCCCCUUUAAAUGUGUAUGUAAGGCUGWCUGUGGAGAAGGAGCAUGUGCAGUACAAGGCUUUGUUAUUUUCAUGGGUUUUACAUGCACAUGGGAUUCCCUACAGGCCAAGUAGMAGGACAGACCUGUAAUGGAACUCAAGGCUGCAAAGCUUUCUGGCAGCACUCCCUGGAGGGGGAGGACACAGGUUUUGUGUCUUCCUUUGUGCUGUGCAUGUAAAGCAUGGUGACAGUUCGGGUAAUGGCUUUCCAAGGCAGACACRAGAAAUUAGCUCAGCUUAAUAGCAUGCCUCAGUGGGCAUUAAAAUUAUUUUUAAUAAAUCAUUUACUUAAAGGAGUUCAUCUCUGUGUUUUCAAAUGUGCCUGUUUCUUUAUUUCUGUUGUAUAAUUAUGUACAGGUUGAGAAAUACUUGAAUUUUGUUUAUUUAAAAACACAUUUUUAAUAAAUUAUGCACAAACUGGUUUCACUGUUUCUUCUAACCAAACUGAUGUAUASCAAGGAAACUCUGUUAGCAAAAUCAACAGACUCACCACAUCUCUGUGCUGUCUUAUUGAACUGGGCUGCUGUGAUUGAAUGUUCCAUGAGGACAUCACACAGAUUCCUUUUUAUCAGUUAAGACUUCUAUUCCCCAAACAUCUCAAGUAUUGUGUUUAAGAGUAUUUCCAUAAGCCUUCAUUCCAAU